rnacentral:rRNA from 1 species
GACGAACGCUGGCGGCGUGCUUAACACAUGCAAGUCGAACGGAAAGGCCCUGCUUUUGUGGUGUGCUCGAGUGGCGAACGGGUGAGUAACACGUGAGUAACCUGCCCUUGACUUUGGGAUAACUUCAGGAAACUGGGGCUAAUACCGGAUAGGAGCUCCUGCUGCAUGGUGGGGGUUGGAAAGUUUCGGCGGUUGGGGAUGGACUCGCGGGUUAUCAGCUUGUUGGUGGGGUAGUGGCUUACCAAGGCUUUGACGGGUAGCCGGCCUGAGAGGGUGACCGGCCACAAGGGGACUGAGAGACGGCCCAGACUCCUACGGGAGGCAGCAGUGGGGAAUCUUGCACAAUGGGCGGGAGCCUGAGGCAGCAACCCCGCGUGCGGGAUGACGGCCUUCGGGUUGUAAACCGCUUUCGCCUGUGACGAAGCGUGAGUGACGGUAAUGGGUAAAGAAGCACCGGCUAACUACGUG